rnacentral:rRNA from 1 species
AUUGAACGCUGGCGGCAUGCUUUACACAUGCAAGUCGAACGGCAGCGCGGGCUUCGGCCUGGCGGCGAGUGGCGAACGGGUGAGUAAUGCAUCGGAACGUGCCCAGUAGUGGGGGAUAGCCCGGCGAAAGCCGGAUUAAUACCGCAUACGACCGGAGGGUGAAAGCGGGGGACCGAAAGGCCUCGCGCUAUUGGAGCGGCCGAUGUCGGAUUAGCUAGUUGGUGGGGUAAAGGCUUACCAAGGCGACGAUCCGUAGCUGGUCUGAGAGGACGACCAGCCACACUGGGACUGAGACACGGCCCAGACUCCUACGGGAGGCAGCAGUGGGGAAUUUUGGACAAUGGGGGCAACCCUGAUCCAGCCAUGCCGCGUGCGGGAAGAAGGCCUUCGGGUUGUAAACCGCUUUUGUUCGGGAAGAAAUCCUCUGGGCUAAUACCCCGGGGGGAUGACGGUACCGGAAGAAUAAGCACCGGCUAACUACGUG